rnacentral:lncRNA from 1 species
CUUGUGGGCACUAGACACCCUAAGUAGACAUCAUCCCCAGAGAGAGAGAGAGAGAGAGAGAGAGAGAGAGAGAGAGACUAAGAAAUAAGAAAUUUUGAAGAAUUUAAAUAAACUUUAGAGUAGGGCAACAUAGAAAAUAUGAUAAUUUUCAUGUGGAGAUCCUGCCUCUUCCAUUCACCAACUAAUAUCAAGAAAUUAAGCACUCCCGAGAGAAUCCCAUGAAGUCCAAACAAAGGAGCUCAGAAAAUAACAGUGAAGACACCUUCACCAGUUUAAUGUCACAUCACCAUAAAAAGAAGAAAUUGAAAAAACGUGAGGCAUGCUGAAAACACCAAAUCAGCCCACUGCAGACAGGCAG